UACCUGCAGCUCGAGUGGUGAUCGUUAUUAUUGGGCCUAAAACGUCCGUAGCCGGUCUUGUAAAUGCCUGGGUAAAUCGUAUGGCUUAACCAUACGAAUUCUGGGUAGACUGUUAGACUUGAGACCGGGAGAAGCUAGAGGUACUCCUGGGGUAGAGGUGAAAUUCUGUAAUCCUAGGGGGACCACCAGUGGCGAAGGCGUCUAGCUAGAACGGGUCUGACGGUGAGGGACGAAGCCCUGGGGCGCAAACGGG
rnacentral:rRNA from 1 species